CCCCUGCUGCCAGUUGCCAACGGGUGAAGCCGGGCACUCUGGCGGGACUGCCAUCGACAAGAUGGAGGAAGGUGGGGAUGACGUCAAGUCAUCAUGGCCCUUAUGUCCAGGGCGACACACGUGCUACAAUGGCCGGCACAACGGGAAGCGAGUUCGCGAGGACGAGCGGAUCCCUCAAAGCCGGUCGCAGUUCGGAUUGAAGUCUGCAACUCGACUUCAUGAAGCUGGAAUCGCUAGUAAUCGUGGAUCAGACCAAGCCGCGGUGAAUACGUUCCCGGCCUU
rnacentral:rRNA from 1 species